rnacentral:rRNA from 2 species
UGAACGCUGGCGGCAGGCCUAACACAUGCAAGUCGAGCGGUAGCACAGGGAGCUUGCUCCUGGGUGACGAGCGGCGGACGGGUGAGUAAUGUCUGGGAAACUGCCUGAUGGAGGGGGAUAACUACUGGAAACGGUAGCUAAUACCGCAUAACGUCUUCGGACCAAAGAGGGGGACCUUCGGGCCUCUUGCCAUCAGAUGUGCCCAGAUGGGAUUAGCUAGUAGGUGAGGUAAUGGCUCACCUAGGCGACGAUCCCUAGCUGGUCUGAGAGGAUGACCAGCCACACUGGAACUGAGACACGGUCCAGACUCCUACGGGAGGCAGCAGUGGGGAAUAUUGCACAAUGGGCGCAAGCCUGAUGCAGCCAUGCCGCGUGUAUGAAGAAGGCCUUCGGGUUGUAAAGUACUUUCAGCGAGGAGGAAGGCAUUGUGGUUAAUAACCGCAGUGAUUGACGUUACUCGCAGAAGAAGCACCGGCUAACUCCGUGCCAGCAGCCGCGGUAAUACGGAGGGUGCAAGCGUUAAUCGGAAUUACUGGGCGUAAAGCGCACGCAGGCGGUCUGUCAAGUCGGAUGUGAAAUCCCCGGGCUCAACCUGGGAACUGCAUUCGAAACUGGCAGGCUAGAGUCUUGUAGAGGGGGGUAGAAUUCCAGGUGUAGCGGUGAAAUGCGUAGAGAUCUGGAGGAAUACCGGUGGCGAAGGCGGCCCCCUGGACAAAGACUGACGCUCAGGUGCGAA